UACGGAGGGUGCAAGCGUUAUCCGGAUUCACUGGGUUUAAAGGGUGCGUAGGUGGGCUAGUAAGUCAGUGGUGAAAUCUCCGGGCUUAACCCGGAAACUGCCAUUGAUACUAUUAGUCUUGAAUACCAUGGAGGUGAGCGGAAUAUGUCAUGUAGCGGUGAAAUGCUUAGAUAUGACAUAGAACACCAAUUGCGAAGGCAGCUGGCUACACGAAUAUUGACACUGAUGCACGAAAGCGUGGGGAUCAAACAGG
rnacentral:rRNA from 1 species